CCACUCCCUGCCAACUUCUCAGCCAAUUCAACAUAUGAUGCUUCCAUUGCCUGUUCAAAAUUCAAAAAAAAAAAAAAAAAUCCAUUUAGAGAAAUCCAGAAAACAAAGAUAUAAUAAGAAUUCUGAAUUGCCUGCAACAUUGUUUACCUGGCAAAACUGGCACCAUGGUGCAUAGAGCACAACAAUCCAUGGUUCUUUUCGGUCCUCCAACCUCGCUAAAUUCUCAAUUCCAGUCCUAUUCAAGGUAACCAAGUUCUGGGUGUUGAAUAUAUCAGGAACUAUGGCAGUUCCAUUAGCAUGGACUGCCCCAUUUCCAUUACCAUCUACAUU